rnacentral:rRNA from 1 species
UACAGAGGGUGCGAGCGUUGUUCGGAAUUACUGGGCGUAAAGGGCGCGUAGGCGGAUGUUUAAGUCAGCGGUGAAAGCCCAGGGCUCAACCUUGGAACUGCCAUUGAUACUGGACAUCUUGAGUACGGGAGAGGUGAGUGGAACACCGAGUGUAGAGGUGAAAUUCGUAGAUAUUCGGUAGAACACCAGUGGCGAAGGCGACUCACUGGCCCGUUACUGACGCUGAGGCGCGAAAGCGUGGGGAGCAAACAGG